rnacentral:lncRNA from 1 species
UCAUUACAAAGAUAUUGCAUUGGUUAAUCUCAUUGAUUCUUUGUGUUCUCCCAAGAACCACUUAUUCACGACGGUUACUGUGUGCAGUUCCUGUCAAUGAAGCUAGCAGCUGUUGAUCCUCGCCUCGAUAUCAAUCUUGAGCAUCUACUCAACAAAGAGGUGCGUCAAAAUCUGAUUUGUGGAGUGGGUCAGAAUGAAUCAUUUUUAGUUCAUGGCAGAUGCUUGCCUUCUUCUUAAAGCCACCGCUGCCAAUUGAAAAAUGAUUGCCUGUCUGUGUGUUUUGCUCAUUAUGUCAGCUCCCACAAGCGAGAUCACCUGAAACAACUUUGAUGAGUCCCGACCUAGUAGCAGGCUACGGAGAGUAUCAAACGCAGCUACAAAUCCAACAGCAGAUCAACAGCUGCAACAUGGACUUGAGAUCUGUGGGAACAUUGUGCGAUGCAUACCUUCGACGGUCAAUGAAUAUUGCUCCAAUGCCCCAUACAUCUCUAGCGUACACCGAGAGUUUGGUGGACUCUCUAACCCAAGUAAUUUUCCGCCUGAUUUCCAAAUUCCACUGUUUUGGUUCAAAACUAACAUAUAUUAAGUGCACUUAGCUAUGGUUGAUUAUGGAUUUAGUGGUAAAUCAGCUUUGUGUUGCAUUGAGCCAAACUAGAAACUUCGAAGAACCUAAAAUCUGAGGCUGUGUAUGCAUCAUGUGCAGACGCUCAACGGAGUCUGUGAUACAGGAGACCUCCAAGCCAUCGUUCACAUGAAUAAUUCUCAAGGCAGGCAAGAAGUUUUCGAUCAAGAGCUUCAUGGUUUUGUCCCAGGUUUUGCAGGACCAGGCUAUCUGACUCCUGGGCACCUGAAAGUGGAGUACUCGUAAACAUCGUUGAGGUCCUCCACUUCAUCAUGUACUAUGCAAGAUGGUGACGGACAAACUGUGAAGAUGUAGAUGAGAAGCAUUGGAUUUAGGUAUCGCUUAUUUUCAUU